UACGAAGGGGGCUAGCGUUACUCGGAAUUACUGGGCGUAAAGGGCGCGUAGGCGGCUCGGCAAGUCAGGCGUGAAAUUCCCGGGCUCAACCUGGGGACUGCGCUUGAGACUGUGGGGCUAGAGGACGGAAGAGGGUCGUGGAAUUCCCAGUGUAGAGGUGAAAUUCGUAGAUAUUGGGAAGAACACCGGUGGCGAAGGCGGCGACCUGGUCCGUUACUGACGCUGAGGCGCGACAGCGUGGGGAGCAAACAGG
rnacentral:rRNA from 1 species